UACGUAGGGGGCAAGCGUUGUCCGGAUUCAUUGGGCGUAAAGAGCGUGUAGGCGGCCAGGUAGGUCGGUUGUGAAAACUGGAGGCUCAACCUUCAGAGGUCGACCGAAACCAUCUGGCUAGAGUCCGGGAGAGGAGAGUGGAAUUCCACGUGUAGCAGUGAAAUGCGUAGAGAUGUGGAGGAACACCGAUGGCGAAGGCAGCCCCCUGGGUCAACACUGACGCUCAUGCACGAAAGCGUGGGGAGCAAACAGG
rnacentral:rRNA from 1 species